GCUCUCGUGGGUUAGUGGUUAGACCGUCUGCUUUACACGCAGAAAGUCGCAGGUUCAAACCCUGCCGGGAGCA